AACGAACGCUGGCGGCAUGCCUAACACAUGCAAGUCGAACGAGAUCUUCGGGUCUAGUGGCGCACGGGUGCGUAACGCGUGGGAAUCUGCCCUUUGGUUCGGAAUAACAGUUGGAAACGACUGCUAAUACCGGACGAUGACGUAAGUCCAAAGAUUUAUCGCCAGAGGAUGAGCCCGCGUAGGAUUAGCUAGUUGGUGUGGUAAAGGCGCACCAAGGCGACGAUCCUUAGCUGGUCUGAGAGGAUGAUCAGCCACACUGGGACUGAGACACGGCCCAGACUCCUACGGGAGGCAGCAGUGGGGAAUAUUGGACAAUGGGGGAAAGCCUGAUCCAGCAAUGCCGCGUGAGUGAUGAAGGCCUUAGGGUUGUAAAGCUCUUUUACCCGGGAUGAUAAUGACAGUACCGGGAGAAUAAGCUCCGGCUAACUCCGUGCCAGCCGCCGCGGUAA
rnacentral:rRNA from 1 species